rnacentral:rRNA from 1 species
GACGUAGGGCGCAAGCGUUGUCCGGAUUUAUUUGGGCGUAAAGAGCUCGUAGGCGGCUUGUCGCGUCGACUGUGAAAACCCACGGCUCAACUGUGGGACUGCAGUCGAUACGGGCUAGCUAGAGUUCGGUAGGGGAGACUGGAAUUCCUGGUGUAGCGGUGAAAUGCGCAGAUAUCAGGAGGAACACCGGUGGCGAAGGCGGGUCUCUGGGCCGAUACUGACGUGAGGAGCGAAAAGCGUGGGGAGCGAACAGG